rnacentral:rRNA from 1 species
AACCAUCCUCAAUGGACGAGAGUCUGUCGGAGCAACGCCGCGUGAGUGAUGAAUGUCUUCGGUACGUAAAACUCGGGUCUUAGAGAAGAACAAGUACCGAUCCAAUGGCGCGGUACCUUUAUGGUACCUAACCAGAAAUCCAUGCCAACCUACGUGCCACCAGCCGCGGUAAUACGUAGGUGGCAACCGUUAUCAGGUAUUAUUUGGCGUAAAGGUCACGCAUGCGAUUUCUUAAGUCUGAUGUGAAAGCCCACGGCUCAACCGUGGAGGGUCAUUGGAAACUGGGAAGCUUGAGUGCAGAAGAGGAGAGUGGAAUUCCAUGUGUAGCGGUGAAAUGCGUAGAGAUAUGGAGGAACACCAGUGGCGAAGGCGACUCUCUGGUCUGCAACUGACGCUGAGGCGCGAAAGCGUGGGGAGCGAACA